UGAGGCCCUGUGCCCUCACCAGCCUUUCCUAUGGGCUGGGAGUUGGGGGGUGUGGGAAGGUGGGGGGAGCUCUGGCCUUGUGGCAACCUUGAAGGCUGAGGACUGCUUUCUGUUUUUAAAUAUGUGCAUGCCCACACACAAUGCUGUGUUAUUCAGUCUUAAAAAAAUUAAGCUCUGACCCAGGCUGCAACGUGGGUGCACCUGAGGACUCUGCUCUGGAAAACCAGACAGUCAGGAAGGACAGAUACUGUUCAAUUGCACCUCCAUGAGGUCCCAGAGGAGUUAGACUCAUAGGAAAUAGAAGGGUGGCUGCUGGGGCCGGGGAGGGAGAACGGGGAGCAGGUGUUUGACGGGGACAGUUUCCAUUUGGGAAGAUGAAGCGGUUCUAGAGGGGGGUGGUGGCAAGGGUUGAAAACGCGGAUGACCUGAAUGCCACUGAGCUGCGCACUUGAAAUGGUUAAGUUGGAAACACGUAUGUUCUGUGCAUUUUACCACAAUUUAAAACAUUUGAAAAUCCAUAUGCCUUGGUCUGUUUCGUUUUAGCAUUAAUCCUGUGUCUCCCAUAAACCUGGGAACGUAUUGACUGGUGCUAUUACUGAUUCUCACAGCAGCGCGUGCAGGAGGUGGAGCGCGUCCGUGGCAAGCAGGUCAGGCCUCAGGUCUCAGGGCCUUGGGUGUGUCCUUGCCCAUUCAUCCCUGUGUUUCCUUCAGCAAACAGGGACAGCACUGCCACCUCCUGCUGCUGACAGCAGUGAGGACGAACACCGACACUUAGGAAUGGCGCUGGCAGGAAGCUUGGUGAGGUCAUGUGAGUGUUUUCAUCUAGGUCUCAAAAUGCAGGGGUGGUGACUGCUCGUUCCUGCUUGGCGAGCUCACCUUAGUCCAUGGGGGGCACCAUUACUCAUGAGGCUGCAGAACUGCCCCGCCCUGCCUGAGGUGUCUGCACCCCGAGAUGAGUCAUCUAGGGGUGCAGAGACCCAGCCUGGCUGCUCUGAAAGAGGAAGGUGGGGCCUUGGUGGGCCACCCACAGUGGGCUGCCCCAGCUCCUUGCUGCCUCCCCCUCCCCCCACACUGCUACCCUGUUUGUCCUACCGUGUCCUUGAUAAAGCCCUGGGCUAAUUUCCAUGCCAGAGUCAGUGUCCCUGGGAGUGGCCUCCAGAGGCAGACACCAAGACAGGAUCUGGAAGCUGGAUUUCAUCAGGCAGCUGGCACCAGCCCUGGAGGAAGGUGGGUUCACACAGAGCAGACAGCCCACAUAGUGCCUGCACAGCCCACACAGCCCACAUGGUGCCCGCACAGCCCGCAUGGUGCCCACACAGCCUGCAUGGUACCUGCACAGCCCACACAGCCCACAUGGUGCCCACACAGCCCGCAUGGUGCCCACACAGCCUGCACAGUGCCCACACAGCCCACACAGCCCACAUGGUGCCCACACAGCCCACAUGGUGCCUGCACAGCCCACACAGCCCACAUGGUGCCCACACAGCCCACAUGGUGCCUGCACAGCCCACACAGCCCACAUGGUGCCUGCACAGCCCACACAGCCCACACAGUGCCUGCACUGCCCACACAGCCCACAUGGUGCCCACACAGCCCGCAUGGUGCCUGCACAGCCCACACAGCCCACAUAGUGCCUGCACAGCCCACACAGCCCACAUGGUGCCCACACAGCCCGCAUGGUGCCUGCACAGCCCACACAGCCCACAUGGUGCCCACACAGCCCACAUAGUGCCUGCACAGCCCACACAGCCCACAUGGUGCCCACACGGCCCACAUAGUGCCUGCACAGCCCACACAGCCCACAUGGUGCCCACACAGCCUGCAUGGUGCCUGCACAGCCUGCACAGUGCCCGCACAGCCUGCACAGUGCCCGCACAGCCCACAUGGUGCCCACACAGCCUGCAUGGUGCCUGCACAGCCUGCACAGUGCCCACACAGCCCGCAUGGUGCCCACACAGCCUGCACAGUGCCCACACAGCCCGCAUGGUACCCACACAGCCCGCACGGUGCCCACACAGCCUGCACAGUGCCCGCACAGCCCGCAUGGUGCCCACACAGCCUGCAUGGUGCCUGCACAGCCCACACAGCCCACAUGGUGCCCACACAGCCUGCAUGGUGCCUGCACAGCCUGCACAGUGCCCGCACAGCCCACAUGGUGCCCACACAGAGCACACAGCCCGCAUGGUGCCCGCACAGCCCACAUGGUGCCCACACAGCGCACAGCCUGCAUGAUGCCCGCACAGCCCUCACAGUGCCCACACAGAGCGCACAACCCUUAUGGUGCCCACACAGAGUUCACAGCUCACAUGAGGCCUGCUUAGCCCACACAGUCCCCACACAGAGUGCACAUCCCACAUGAUGCCCACACAGCCUGCAGUGCCCACACAGAAAGCACAGCCCCCGUGAUGCCCACACAGCCCACAGUGCCCACACAGAGCGCACAGCUCACACAGUGCCCACAGAGAGAGCACAGCCCACGUGGUGCCCACACAACGUACAGCCUGCAUGGUGCCCGCACAGCCCACACGGUGCCCGCACAGCCCACACAGCCUACAUAGAGCCCACAUAGCUUACACAACCCGCAUGGUACCCUCACAAUCCACACAGCCCACACGGUAGCCACACAGAGCGCACAGCCCAUGUGGUGCCUGCACAGCCCACACGGUGCCCACACAGCCCCUGCACAGCCCACACGGUGCCCACACAGCCCCUGCACAGCCCACACAGCCUGAAUGGCCCACACGGUGCCCACACAGCCCACAUGGUGCUGUGGUGCCAGGUGUACCCUCGCUGCUGUGCAGUGCCCUGAGGUCCCUUGGGAGUCCUCUGUCAGUUUUGUCGUCACUGACAAACUGUCACAUGCUGCUGGUGGCUGUGGCCCAUUGCUAAUGGUAGCAGGGAAGAAACACCUGACCUCCUCUGAUUUCUUCAAACUCUGCAGUUAACCUGUUUCCAAUAGAGAACUGAGAAUUCCCAUUCAUUACUAAUGCUUAAUCAGUGUUUAAUAUAUGGAAGAUCUUACUGUUAACCUCCCAUGAGGACCUUCUCAGCUCAGUCGCCUUUUAAGAGGGCUUCUUGAAAGUCAAAGUAAUUCCCACUGGUUAUUUUUAAUGCUCUUAUUGUAUGAAUUGUACAAAAAUAUUCAGCAGAUGUAGUUUUUUUUUUUUUCUUUAAGCUGCAGAAGAUUGGCUCGAGAAAGGCCUGCCUGCCCCUCCCGCCUCCGCCUGCCCCUGUCCAUUCUCAUCAGCCCUGGCUGUCCUCCGUCCAUCCCUGCCCUCCCGGCUUGUCCAUCUCUGCCCACCUGCCCCACACUGCCUGCCUGCCCCCACCAGCCCAGGCUGCCAGGAUGGGCAUUCUCAGGCUCUGUCUGCCCCAGGCCCUCGCCAGCCCUGACAGUGCAAGGGAGGGUGACAGGUACCAGCAUGCCUGUGACUAGGCAUCUUCACAGCUGAUGGCCCUCGUCUCACAGACCAUGCCCCUGCCUUAGUUUCCCCGGGGACUUUCCCUGGGUCUUGGCCCCUGCCUUGCUGCUGGCACCCUGAUAGAAUUUCUGUGUCAGGAGGGAAACAUUUAAACACAGCAAAUACCCAAAAAUAGGUUUCCUAAGACUUCCAGCACGAGGCCUGUUUACCUGGGGUCAGUGACUGGGGGGAGGGGAGCACCUGUUCCCCGUUUCCUCAUCACGAACCUCCUGCCUCCUUCCGCCCUUUUCACCUCAAAACCUUUUCCACCAGAGCCUGCCGCCAUCAUUCAGUCUCAGGUGGGGCUGCUGCUGGAAGAGCCCAGGGCGGUUUCCUUGAUGGGAGGGUUUCUCCAGCCCCUGCCUUAAGGAUCUGAUGCCAGGUUUUCUUGACAAGCGGCAUCCCAGAAUCCUAGAAGUGGAGGGGCUGAAGAACCCACCACUCUCCACCUCCCCAAGUGGACUCCCCUCAGGGCCUUCGAUUUUAUCCCCCCAGUGGAAGUAAAAUUCACAUAACAUAAAGCUCACCAUUUUAAAGCAAGCAAGUUGGGGGCUUCUUGUACAUUUACAGUGUUGUACAGCCACCGCUUUUGUCUAGUUCCAAGGCCUUUCGUCACCCCAAAGAGAAGCCCAUGCCCACCAAGCCGCCGCUCCCCGGAAGCUGGGAGUGCAUUCCUGCCUCUGCGGGUCUUCCUGACUGGGAUACCCCGGCAUGCAGCCUCCUUUGCUGAGCCUGGCACUGUGGAGCUGCCUCCACACAGCAGAUGCCUCGGGACCAGCUGAAGUUCAGGUCUGAGUGCUGCUCCAUUGCACGGGGAAACCCUGGUCUGUCUCUCCAUCCUUCUGCCCUGGGCACCCCUUGGCUGGCCCGAGAACGGAGGAAAGAUGGCGCUGGAUCUUGGUGGUGCCUUUUCCUUGGGGAGGGCAGGUGUGAGAGCAACCGGGCGUCUGCUGUCCUGCUCUUUCUGUGGCUGCCUGAGAUCUUUCUCAUUCAUGUCCACGGUGGCUUUUUCCUUUCUUUUUAUUCUUUUCCUUCAUGUGAUCUCUAUUUCUUUUAAAAAUGUGUUCUGAAAUAUUGGAAGAAAACAGUCCCCCCCGCCCCCACCACACUCAGCUGGCAGGCGAGUGAUGCGUGGCCGUGUGCAGUGGGAGCUCCUCCACCCUCCAGGUGCUGGAGGGUCCGGCUAGCCCUCUCUUCGCCUCUGCCAUCCUCUGUCUCCACUUGCCUUUAAAUGUCUCAUGUUAGUCAUUUUUAUUGUUUUACUCAGGCGACAUUUGCUUACAUUUAUCAACACACUUACCUUUCUGAGAACAUCUCAUUCCUUCUUACAGCUCGGACCUUCCUCCUGGAUCACUUUCCGUGUUCCUGAAUUAAUCUUUUAGAAGUUCCAUAGUGAGAAUCUGCUGGCACCAUUUUCCUCAGUGUCGUUUGCAUCAAUACAGCUUUACCGGCCCUUCCUUCUGGAACUGUGACAUAGCUGUAUGUGAAAACGUGGACUGCUGGUUAUUUUCUUGAGCCAUUUGAGACUCUUCUUUUAUACCUUCAGAGCUGCCGUGGGGAAGUCGGUGGUCGUAACUGUCAUUCCUGGUUCCACCUUGGGAGCAGCAGAUAGAGUGGCCCAUGGAAAGGCUGGGAGACCUCAUCCGGGCAGGUGGACAAGGACGUGGCUGCGACUGAUGUGGGCUCUGGACCUCCCGCGGGGCCGCUUCUGUGCGACUCCCCUGGGCAGCUGGGAUCAGGGCAAGAAGUUGCCUCUGCCAUCAGGGCCAUCCUCAUGCCCACAUUCCUUCCCGCUGUCACGGAAGAGUUUAGAAAUGAGGACAGCCUGGAGGUGGCCCCCUGACCUGGAAUCCAGAAGUGGAGAGUCUGGGAAGCGCUGCUCUCCGGGAAGAGGGAGUCUGCUGCCCUCUGCUGCCCUCUGCUGCCCUCUGCUGACUCUGCGCCAGCCUGAGCCCUUCCGCCAGCACAGCUCUUUUCUUGUUUUUGAGACGGAGUCUUACUCUGUCGCCCUGGCUGGAGUGCAGUGGUGUGAUCUCAGCUCACUGGGUUCAAGCAAUUCUCCUGCCUCAGCCUCCCAAGUAGCUGGGAUUACAGGUGUGUGCACCAUGCCCAGCUAAUUCUUUUUUGUAUUUAUAGUAGAGAUGGGGGCGGGUUUCACCAUGUUGGCCAGGCUGGUCUCGAACUCCUGACCUCAGGAGAUCCGUCCACCUCGGCCUCCCACAGUGCUGGGAUUACAGGCGUGAAGCACCACGCCCGGCCUCCCAGCACAUCCCUUAUUGGUUUACAGAUCGUAAAUAUAUGGAGUUUAUAUUCAUAUUUCAUGACUCCAUUCUCCGGGGUUCCUGGAGACCAGAUUCUAUGAUCUGUUUCCCUGACUCACUCGCUGUGUCUGUUUCCUUGUGCGUUUGGCAGUUUCAAGGUAGCUCGCUUCGUCUGUGACAGGGUGUGAAGCCUGGGUUUAGGAUGAGCCCUUUACAUGUUGCCUCUGCCAAGUACCUGAGGCCACCACCUGCCUGGGGUACUCCGACUUCACUCUCCUCUGUGGGGUUUCCCAGGCCCUGUAGAGGUGUGGAUUUAAAUCCCACACUUACAGCAGGGCCAUGGUUCUGAAUUUUCACAGAAAGCAUUUUCCUCUGCCUGGAACCCCUGCCAGGAGAAACACAGUAAGUUCCUUGAUGUCUUCUUCCACUGCUGGGGAUUUUCCUCCCAGUGUCCUCUCCACGGAGGGCAGGUGACCGUAGCGGGUGCAGGCUUCAUGCAGCUCUGUCUCUCACUCCUGCACACACAUCUGAAGCCGGCACUACCCAGUUCCCCUCUGGCCCUGGCUUUGUUUUUGCUGCCCGGGAAUGUCAGGUCUCGUGCACUCAGCUGCAGGUGCAGAUUGUUGGUCUAGGUCUAGGUGGCGCAUUUCUAGGUCAGCUUCCGGGAGGGCUUGCAGGCCUGGUCUGCAGCAGUGGCGUGCCGGGAGCAUGCACCAGUGGGUUUUGUUUUCUGUUCCAGUGCCUCGUUGUAACAAUGUCGCCCUGACGAUGAUGCACCAAGACCUUUCCAUAUUCUCUUGUUUUAGACUCAGAGAAUGCAGCACCGUGGGUGGCGGGUCAGCUUCCUGUUUCCCAGGUGAGGAAACAGAGGGACCCAGCAGGUGGUGGUCACGGGGCACCGGGGAGGGGCUGGACGCUGGUCCCGGCCUGGCUGCAGUGGCUCUUGGGUCUGUCAGAGGAAGGGAUCAGCCAGAGCCCCUGGAAGAUGCCACUCCCACCCCCAGGCAGAAGAGGGGAUGAGCUCAGUUAUCCCCGAGUCCCCGGGGGUGGCUCUGUCGGCAGUCAGCCCAACCUGCCUGGCCUGUCUGCCUGCGACUGCUGGGGUUCCGUGAGUUUUCCCCUCAGUCCUCUGGAGACCCCGAGCCUAGGCCUGUAAUGCCCCAUGUGUGAGGCGGCACUAGGGAAACCUCUUCAGGCUGUUCUUUCUCUUUGCUUGGUCGAUUCAAAGACUGGCCACCGUCACCCUCCCUCCCCACUUCUCUCCUUCUGUCUCCUCUUCUCCUCCUGGGGCCCCUGGGGCUUGCAGGUACCAGGCUGGUAAUGAAGUGGCUCCUGCAUGUGUGAUUCUGUCUCAUGUCUGGUGCUCUGAAGGGCAGAGUGUCACUUCACCCUCUGAGUUCUGUGCACUGGCUCAGCCGCUGUCUUCUGCCCUGGUGGGCAGAGGCAAGGCCUGUGCCCUGUGCCCAUGGGCUUGCUCAGCUGUCUCAGACCUGGUGGUCAGCUAAAGGGUCUCUGUGUGCUGCAGGGGCUGGAAGUCCAGAGUGCCUGUUCUGGCUCAGGGGUUCAUUGAUUUUUUUGAAUGGUUACCUCACUUGUGUUCAGGGUGGCAGUGCCCUCCACACCACUGUGGAUAGUGGGCAGUGGGUAGAGCAUGAGGCAUCCUUUCUUCUAAGUUGGGUGCCAUGGGCAUGGUCUGUUGACUACCCUGGGCUCUUGGCAGGGGCAAUCACAUAGGCCCUCCUGGUGGCAUCCAGAAUGCACUGUGCUGUGCUGCAAAGUCCUAGUGGGCAGGGCACAGCAGGUUGGGCAUGGUGGGUCCUGCCCCAGCCAGCCCCAGAUGAAGAUGCUUGGGCACGGUGCUCCUGAGCUGCCCGGCCUUCUGACCCUGGCAGCCAAGGCAUGAGAGCACGUUGGGAGUCUGACAUUACAGCAUCCUAAGUCCUGUUAUUUCAAUCGGAAAUCCUGGACAGGAGACUUUGCCAAGUUGCUGAAGGUCACGAAGUGUUUGUGAAGGAGCUUAUGAGGGCACUUGUUGUAAAGACAAACUUGGGACAUCUUUCUGUUUCUUGUGGAGGUUCACUACUCAGUGGGCAAUGAGAUUGAUCUCAUGCGUUUGUCCUCAUUUUCCUGCAAAGAUAAGGGCAUGUGAUGUCCUCUGGCACAGCGUGUUUCCCUUUCUGUGUUCCUUGACUUUGAAAAUGUGCAGGUUUUAUAAAUAAGUACAAUAAAGCCGAUUCUGAAUAGAAUGAAACAAGAGCCUCUCUUUCUAAUUGCGUCUGUUCCUCUUGUGCACAUCUUCAUCAGGGGUUUAGGGUAUUGGAAAGAUGCAUCAAAGUUAGCAGUUAAAGCCUCCUCAUCAAGUGCGGGUUGCUCGGCCUUUCUCUGUCAACAGCUGAGGGUCUGGAUGCUUCCAGCAGACAAGUCCCCGGCUGACCCUGCCUCCUCCGGGCACUUAGGUGAGAGGAGCGUCUGCGUUUCAGGGUGCGCAGACUUAGUCUGGGGCCACUUCACGGCUUGGGCGUUCCGGGCACCAAGCUGGCAGUUUGUGUGCACUUUAGUGUCACAGCAGAACUGAGGAUGACUAGGGAUGCCCAGGACUCCUGGUGUGCGGACAGGAAAUGAAGAUUCAGAGAGGUAAGGACAGGUGCGAUGGCAGGUAGCAGGCGGUGGAGCCCAGGUCUGCUGAUCUGAGCCCCACGUGCUGACGGCUUCCCUUAGAGCCCAGGCCUCCCUGAGCCCUGGGGUGGUGGGAGGGGGACUGGGUGAGGCAGAGCAGCGUGCUGGUCCCAGGAACACUUUGGGUGUUUGCAACAUGAGUUUGGUUUGAAUGCACUACAGGUAUUUCUCACCUGUGGCCUCCCUGGGCUCUCACAGCAGCCCGUGUGCAUCCUCCCACUUUUUUUGGGGUACUCAUGCUCCGCCGGGCAGUGGUCAGUGGCUCUGCUGGUCAGUAGAGGGCCUGGGCCUCACACCGGCCUUCUCCCACCAGGGCCUCUUGAG